rnacentral:rRNA from 1 species
CCCUUAGAGUUUGAUCCUGGCUCAGAUUGAACGCUGGCGGCAGGCCUAACACAUGCAAGUCGAGCGGGGUUUUCGGACCUAGCGGCGGACGGGUGAGUAAUGCGUAGGAAGCUGCCCGAUAGAGGGGGAUACCAGUUGGAAACGACUGUUAAUACCGCAUAAUGUCUACGGACCAAAGUGUGGGACCUUCGGGCCACAUGCUAUCGGAUGCGCCUACGUGGGAUUAGCUAGUUGGUGAGGUAAUGGCUCACCAAGGCGACGAUCUCUAGCUGGUUUGAGAGGAUGAUCAGCCACACUGGAACUGAGACACGGUCCAGACUCCUACGGGAGGCAGCAGUGGGGAAUAUUGGACAAUGGGCGCAAGCCUGAUCCAGCCAUGCCGCGUGUGUGAAGAAGGCCUUCGGGUUGUAAAGCACUUUCAGCGAGGAGGAAGGGAGUUGUGUUAAUAGCGCAGCUUUUUGACGUUACUCGCAGAAGAAGCACCGGCUAACUCUGUGCCAGCAGCCGCGGUAAUACAGAGGGUGCAAGCGUUAAUCGGAAUUACUGGGCGUAAAGCGCACGUAGGCGGUUGGUUAAGUUGGAUGUGAAAGCCCCGGGCUCAACCUGGGAAUUGCAUUCAAAACUGGCCACCUAGAAUACGGGAGAGGGGGGUAGAAUUCCAGUGUAGCGGUGAAAUGCGUAGAGAUUUGGAGGAA